rnacentral:rRNA from 1 species
UACGUAGGGUGCGAGCGUUGCCCGGAUUUAUUGGGCGUAAAGGGCGCGUAGGCGGCUCGGCACGUCCGUUGUGAAAUCGCCCGGCUCAACUGGGCGGGGUCAGCGGAUACGGUCGAGCUUGAGCAAGCUAGGGGGUAAUGGAAUUCCCGGUGUAGUGGUGGAAUGCGUAGAUAUCGGGAGGAACACCGAGUGGCAGAGGGCGCUG